rnacentral:ribozyme from 1 species
GCUGCUCGAAAAAGGCACACCGCUACGAGGUGAGCAUCAGGCAACACAGCGGGAACUGUGGCUAAGAGGCAAAU